GCCCAGGCUGAUAAACCAACAGCCAAUGAGACCAGCUUCUUGGGAUGUUCAACCAAGAUGACACACAUUGAGGACCAUGAGCCGUUUGAACCAGCACCUGAGGUCACUGCGAGCAGUCAGCAGCAGAGCCCGCCUGAGGACAAUGGCCAGCUUGAAGAUCCUCAUGUAACACUUGGCAAUCAGAAGGUACUUAUUUUUAACAUGUUAUUCCCUGUUCCUUGUGAGUUUUCCUGCCAUUUAUUAGAUCUUGGAAAUUAGUUAAAGUAAUGUUAAUUUCAUGUACAAUUCCGUUUUCCCAUUAUACACGGCCAUGAACUACAGCUGAUUGAUUCCUAGCCUUUUUUAUGAAUUCCUUGUUAAUUUCGAUAUAAACUAUUGGUUACACUCCUUUUUGAUUGAACUACUGUUGUGUUUUUAGGCACCCUGUGAAUUUGCACCUGCCAGAGCUGCUACAUCAAGUCAUGUGACUUAUGACAACCCUGGGUGUCUUCAAGGAUCGUUUGACCAGAGCAGCCACAUAUUCGGGGAAAAUGCAGGUAAGCAGUGUGCUACAAAUGGCAUAGCGGCGAUUAUGACCCACACCACCCAUAGCGU